rnacentral:rRNA from 1 species
UGGGGAAUUUUCCGCAAUGGGCGAAAGCCUGACGGAGCAAUGCCGCGUGGAGGUGGAAGGCCUACGGGUCGUCAACUUCUUUUCUCGGAGAAGAAACAAUGACGGUAUCUGAGGAAUAAGCGUCGGCUAACUCUGUGCCAG